AUACAUGCAGUCGAGCGGACAGAUGGGAGCUUGCUCCCUGAUGUUAGCGGCGGACGGGUGAGUAACACGUGGGUAACCUGCCUGUAAGACUGGGAUAACUCCGGGAAACCGGGGCUAAUACCGGAUGCUUGUUUGAACCGCAUGGUUCAAACAUAAAAGGUGGCUUCGGCUACCACUUACAGAUGGACCCGCGGCGCAUUAGCUAGUUGGUGAGGUAACGGCUCACCAAGGCAACGAUGCGUAGCCGACCUGAGAGGGUGAUCGGCCACACUGGGACUGAGACACGGCCCAGACUCCUACGGGAGGCAGCAGUAGGGAAUCUUCCGCAAUGGACGAAAGUCUGACGGAGCAACGCCGCGUGAGUGAUGAAGGUUUUCGGAUCGUAAAGCUCUGUUGUUAGGGAAGAACAAGUACCGUUCGAAUAGGGCGGUACCUUGACGGUACCUAACCAGAAAGCCACGGCUAACUACGUGCCAGCAGCCGCGGUAAUACGUAGGUGGCAAGCGUUGUCCGGAAUUAUUGGGCGUAAAGGGCUCGCAGGCGGUUUCUUAAGUCUGAUGUGAAAGCCCCCGGCUCAACCGGGGAGGGUCAUUGGAAACUGGGGGACUUGAGUGC
rnacentral:rRNA from 1 species